rnacentral:rRNA from 1 species
UAAAGUGGCGAACGGCUGAGUAACACGUGGGCAACCUGCCCCUCUCAUUGGGAUAGCCACGGGAAACCGUGGAUAAUACCGAAUACUUCGAGACUUCCGCAUGGAAGACUCGAGAAAGCUCCGGCGGAGAGGGAUGGGCCCGCGGCCUGUUAGCUUGUUGGUGGGGUAACGGCCUACCAAGGCAAUGAUGGGUAGCUGGGUUGAGAGACCGACCAGCCAGAUUGGGACUGAGAAACGGCCCAG